UUACGGCCAUAUCGCGUUGCAACAACGAUUCUCGUAUAAUCACCGAAGUUAAGCAACGUCGAGCCUGGUCAGUACGUAGAUGGGCGACCGUUUGGGAAUACUC